rnacentral:rRNA from 1 species
UACGUAGGGUGCGAGCGUUAAUCGGAAUUACUGGGCGUAAAGUGUGCGCAGGCGGCCGCGCAAGUCGAGUGUGAAAGCCCCGGGCUUAACUUGGGAAUUGCGCUCGAAACUACGUGGCUGGAGUGUGGCAGAGGAAGGUGGAAUUCCACGUGUAGCGGUGAAAUGCGUAGAGAUGUGGAGGAACACCAAUGGCGAAGGCACCAUCCUGGGAAGCAUCUGACGCUCAGGUGCGAAAGCUAGGGGAGCGAACGGG